UCAUUUUUAUUCUUGUGUAAAUAUCUUGUUUUCUAAUAAGAUGACCUGUCAAGCCUAUUUUAAUUUCUUUUAAAAGAAGAAUUAUAGGUUAAAACAAAUAGUUCGAAGCUAUUUGAAUCAACAAUAUCCAAAUCUAAACUAAAUCCGAACAUGAAUUUUGGAUAGAUUUUCUUUGGAAAAGUAUUGAUGACUCAAUUUAUCGACGGAUUUUGCUAGAAUGGUAGCCAAAAUCGGCUAAAAGAGACGAUUUAAGUGGAUGGUGCAUUUUGGUGGCUUUUCUAGCGGAAGAGAGGGCGACUACUGGUAGAUCUACCAGAGAAGAUGGUGAUUUCAGCAAUGGUUUCACUGGCAAAACGGAGCAGUGGUGAGUGGUGGUUGGUUUUCUAGGGGUUCAGGUGUUUUUUCGGCGAGUGUACAUGUAGUGCAUGUUUUUUUUUAAGUGUGGGUGUAGAGUGGCAACGAAAAAGGGGAGAAAGGGGAGUCACCGGCGACGAGAAUGGCAAUUUCAGCCAGAUCUGGUGCUGGAGAGGAAGGAAAGAGAUGGCGCGGUGACGGGGUAUACCGGUUGGUGGUGCCGGCCAGAGGAAUUUGCUAGCGGUGCCAGCGGAGGUUUUCUUCGUUGGUUUGCCAAUUUCUGGUAAAUAUGGUGUUUCGAGUGAGUUUCUGAUUAUUUAGUUGUCGGAGG
rnacentral:lncRNA from 1 species